rnacentral:rRNA from 1 species
GGACCUAGCGUAGUUCGGAAUUACUGGGCUUAAAGAGUUCGUAGGUGGUUGAAAAAGUUGGUGGUGAAAUCCCAGAGCUUAACUCUGGAACUGCCAUCAAAACUUUUCAGCUAGAGUAUGAUAGAGGAAAGCAGAAUUUCUAGUGUAGAGGUGAAAUUCGUAGAUAUUAGAAAGAAUACCAAUUGCGAAGGCAGCUUUCUGGAUCAUUACUGACACUGAGGAACGAAAGCAUGGGUAGCGAAGAGGAUUAGAUACCCUCGUAGUCCAUGCCGUAAACGAUGUGUGUUAGACGUUGGAAAUUUAUUUUCAGUGUCGCAGCGAAAGCGAUAAACACACCGCCUGGGGAGUACGACCGCAAGGUUAAAACUCAAAUGAAUUGACGGGGACCCGCACAAGUAGUGGAGCAUGUGGUUUAAUUCGAAGAUACGCGCAGAACCUUACCAACACUUGACAUGUUCGUCGCGACUUUGAGAGAUCAAAGUUUUCGGUUCGGCCGGACGAAACACAGGUGCUGCAUGGCUGUCGUCAGCUCGUGUCGUGAGAUGUUGGGUUAAGUCCCGCAACGAGCGCAACCCUCACUUUUAGUUGCCAUCAUUAAGUUGGGCACUCUGAAAGAACUGCCAGUGAUAAGCUGGAGGAAGGUGGGGAUGACGUCAAGUCCUCAUGGCCCUUACGUGUUGGGCUACACACGUGCUACAAUGGUAUCUACAACAGGAAGCAAGACUGCGAAGUUAAGCAAAUCCUCAAAAGAUACCUCAGUUCGGAUUGCACUCUGCAACUCGAGUGCAUGAAGCUGGAAUUACUAGUAAUCGUGGAUCAGCGUGCCACGGUGAAUGCGUUCCCGGGUCUUGUACACACCGCCCGUCACACCAUGGGAGUUGGUUCUACCUUAAGGCAAGGUUUUAAACCCUUGACCACGGUAUAGUCAGCGACUGGGGGAAGU